AGGACGUUACUAACGACGAUAUGCUUUGGGGAGCUGUAAGUAAGCUUUGAUCCAGAGAUUUCCGAAUGGGGAAACCCAGCAUGAGUUAUGUCAUGUUAUCGAUAUGUGAAUACAUAGCAUAUCAGAAGGCACACCCGGAGAACUGAAACAUCUUAGUACCCGGAGGAAGAGAAAGAAAAUUCGAUUCCCUUAGUAGCGGCGAGCGAAACGGGAAGAGCCCAAACCAACAAGCUUGCUUGUUGGGGUUGUAGGACACUCUAUACGGAGUUACAAAGGACGACAUUAGACGAAUCAUCUGGAAAGAUGAAUCAAAGAAGGUAAUAAUCCUGUAGUCGAAAAUGUUGUCUCUCUUGAGUGGAUCCUGAGUACGACGGAGCACGUGAAAUUCCGUCGGAAUCUGGGAGGACCAUCUCCUAAGGCUAAAUACUCUCUAGUGACCGAUAGUGAACCAGUACCGUGAGGGAAAGGUGAAAAGCACCCCGGAAGGGGAGUGAAAUAGAACCUGAAACCGUGUGCUUACAAGUAGUCAGAGCCCGUUAAUGGGUGAUGGCGUGCCUUUUGUAGAAUGAACCGGCGAGUUACGAUUUGAUGCAAGGUUAAGCAGUAAAUGUGGAGCCGUAGCGAAAGCGAGUCUGAAUAGGGCGUUUAGUAUUUGGUCGUAGACCCGAAACCAGGUGAUCUACCCUUGGUCAGGUUGAAGUUCAGGUAACACUGAAUGGAGGACCGAACCGACUUACGUUGAAAAGUGAGCGGAUGAACUGAGGGUAGCGGAGAAAUUCCAAUCGAACCUGGAGAUAGCUGGUUCUCUCCGAAAUAGCUUUAGGGCUAGCCUCAAGUGAUGAUUAUUGGAGGUAGAGCACUGUUUGGACGAGGGGCCCCUCUCGGGUUACCGAAUUCAGACAAACUCCGAAUGCCAAUUAAUUUAACUUGGGAGUCAGAACAUGGGUGAUAAGGUCCGUGUUCGAAAGGGAAACAGCCCAGACCACCAGCUAAGGUCCCAAAAUAUAUGUUAAGUGGAAAAGGAUGUGGCGUUGCCCAGACAACUAGGAUGUUGGCUUAGAAGCAGCCAUCAUUUAAAGAGUGCGUAAUAGCUCACUAGUCGAGUGACACUGCGCCGAAAAUGUACCGGGGCUAAACAUAUUACCGAAGCUGUGGAUUGUCCUUUGGACAAUGGUAGGAGAGCGUUCUAAGGGCGUUGAAGCAUGAUCGUAAGGACAUGUGGAGCGCUUAGAAGUGAGAAUGCCGGUGUGAGUAGCGAAAGACGGGUGAGAAUCCCGUCCACCGAUUGACUAAGGUUUCCAGAGGAAGGCUCGUCCGCUCUGGGUUAGUCGGGUCCUAAGCUGAGGCCGACAGGCGUAGGCGAUGGAUAACAGGUUGAUAUUCCUGUACCACCUAUAAUCGUUUUAAUCGAUGGGGGGACGCAGUAGGAUAGGCGAAGCGUGCGAUUGGAUUGCACGUCUAAGCAGUAAGGCUGAGUAUUAGGCAAAUCCGGUACUCGUUAAGGCUGAGC
rnacentral:rRNA from 1 species